UAGAAUGAAGCUCGCUGGAUAGAGUGUUUAGCUGUUAACUAAAAUAUUACGGGAUCGAGGCUCGUCAUUCUAG
rnacentral:tRNA from 1 species